rnacentral:tRNA from 1 species
GCCCUGAUGGCACAACAGUUAAGCGUUUGGCUGCUAACCAAAACGGUGGUGGUUUGAAUCCACCCAGAGUC